ensembl:lncRNA
CGAGAACCUAGUUUACAACCCCCUCCCAGAUGUGAAUCAAUGGUGUGAUACAAAAAUGAGAAGUGUUUCUGUUAUGAGAUGCGAUAUGAGGUAAGUUUCACAAAGAUCAAUAAUGUAGCUGUUUAUUAAAAUUUUAAAAAAAUCACAAUAUGACAGAAAUGGCAAUCAAUUCCAUAUUUGAUUAAAUAUAAAUCAGUCAGAUGAGGAUAAAUCGAGCUGCCACAUAUUGGUAUUGCUCAUGCAUAGCAGGUAGAGUGGCAUGCAGAGAAGGGUCCGACUGCAGCCAGUAAACAACAAUGGACCUGAUCGAACAACUCAGCGCUUCUGCUCUUUUCUGUCCAUAAGAAACAAAUGGAUUGGUGGAAGAGGCAGGCCAGGAGCAAGGUGGUCAAGUAAGGCAUCCCCGGAGGCUAAAUGCCCUAAGGUCUGUCCCUGGCCUGUCCCACAGCUUCCUUCAGUGAUGGGUUCCGAUUCAUCUGCUGUGGUGAGGCUGUUAUCCAGGCUGGUAGGGCGUAUUCAAAGAGGGAUCGGAUGUAGCUGAUGUAGACUUUCAGCACUGUCUGAGGUGAGGCUCCAUAUUUUCUUUCGCACAGCGUUUUUAGGUGGUUUAGUCUUUUUCGUCCCUGUCUCUCUAUGUUCGCUAUAUGGGUUGUCCAGCGCAUGUUCUUCUGGAAGGUGACUCCAAGGAAUUUUGCUUCUUUUUCUACUUUUAUUGUUUCACCGUAGAGUUUGAGAUCUAUGGGUUUCCUGUUUUUUUUUUGCUGGUGCUUCUUGUGAAGAGGACACAUUGGGUCUUUUGUGGGUUCAAUUUUACUCGCCACAUGUUAGACCAUGUCUCGAUCAUUUCAAUAGACUUCUGGAGUUUUUUUGCAGCAAGUUGAGGACAUUUGGAGCUGGACCAGUAGCAGAGGUUAUCGGCAAAUUGCGAGACUUGACCUAUGGUGGGUGGAGGGUAAUAAAUAUCUGAUAUGUAGAGUAGAAAAAGUAGUGGGCUUAGAACUGCCCCCUGUGGGACACCUGCUUCAGGGGUAAAAGGUGAGGAUAUUGCUGUGGAAGCCUUCACUUUAAUUGUACGAUUGUGGAGAAAGCUAGUGAUGAUGUUUCUGAUGGAGGUGGUAGUUUGAGAUUGGAGUCUGCAAGCCGGUAACACAACCCAUUGUGCCACAUCUUGUCAAAUGAUUUUUCUAUAUCAAAGAAAACCACCAGGGUAAGUGAUUUUUUCUUGAAGUUCCCGAAGGAUGUCCUCUGGCAGUCUUAGAACGUUAUCGGUGUUUGAUUUUGUUUUCCUGAAGCCAGCUUGGUGGAUUCCAAGGAGGCCCAUUUCCUCAGUGUGGCUGCUCAGUCUUUGUGAGUACUCUCUCAAACAGCUUCCCGACAUGACUGAGGAGGCUGAUUGGUCUAUAACUUGUGACGUUGUAUGGGUCUUUGCCAGGUUUGUGGAUCAUUGUGACAACUGCAGAUUUCCAAGGUAGGGGAAAGUAGCCUUCCGUGAGACAUUCUGUGAAGAGGUUAGAAAGAAGGUGCAGGUAUUCAUCAGGUGAUUGUUUGAUGAGUGUGCUGUCAAUGUUGUCUUCCCCAGGUGCUUUGUCUUUUUCAAGUGAGUUUUGAUUUCUUCAAUAGUUUUUUACAUUUUUUUAUUUAUUUUACCUUUAUUUUACUAGGCAAGUCAGUUAAGAACAAAUUCUUAUUUUCAAUGAUGGCCUAGGAACAGUGGGUUAACUGCCUGUUCAGGGGCAGAAUGACAGAUUUGUACCUUGUCAGCUCAGCGGAUUUGAACUUGCAACCUUUCGGUUACUAGUCCAACGCUCUAACCACUAGGCUACCCUGCCGCAGAGCAGGUGAGGGGAUGGUCUACUGGUGUCGGAUUUGAAGUGUAAACUGUUUUCUGUAUUUCUCUGUCGACAAUGUUUUUCCAGUCUUUGUCAAAGAGAGGAUCGUCGGGACAAGAAUGAACAUUUUGUAGGUGGUUUCUGAAUAAUGUUGCUUUUGUUUCGUUGUCUUCGAUGAGUUGGUUUUGAGACUUUAGCACAGGCAUGAUAUUAUUGGUUUUGUCUCCGUUAAUUGUUUAGAUUUAGAGAAGCUAAGGAGUUUAGCAGCCAAGUCCGGGGAGCAGAGGACAAGAUCAAGGAUGUCUGCCAUGGAGGUUGAAGAAUGGAUGUGUGUGGGCUCGUUGGUGUUGAGGAUAGCCAGGUUUGUGCUGUCGAGGAUAUCCCUUAGUACUCAUCCCGCGUGAUUUGUAGUAUCACAGUUGAAGUCAAUGUGUUUGGCAUUAAAAUCUCCCAUUAUGAUGGUAUGGCUGUUGUUGUCUAGAAGGGCAGCGAUCAAUUUUUUGGAGGGUGUUGUUGCGGGUGGACAGUAUAUAGUGGCUACCAGAAGAGUUGUUUGUGCAUUUAGGAGUAUUUUUGCUGCAGUGUACUCAUUGUUGUUGAGUUCUUCUUUGGUGAGGUUGAAAAUGGCGGUUAGCUAUCUCUCUGCCUUCUCGCUGCCAUACUCCUGGUCACUACCAGAUGGUGCUAUUUUACCUACCAGGCUUUGCCAAUUACCCUCAGCUUCAGGUUGUUGACCCUAAAAACAGGGUCAGAUAUUUAUCAUCCCUCCAAUGCAGGAUUCAGGUCAGGAUUGUCGGUAGAGUAAUCUGAUCCUAGAGCUGUUGUUAGGUUAAACUUAUAUUUAAAGUAUAAUAUAUGCAUGACCCCAGUGGGAAUGUUAUGGAAUUAUAACACCAUUAUUACAACAAAUAAAUUAUUAUAAUGAUUGUAAUUUUUGUAAUUAUUUUCAGUGUGGUGAGG